GACCAGACUCCUACGGGAGGCAGCAGUGGGGAAUAUUGCACAAUGGGGGGAACCUUGAUGCAGCAACGCCGCGUGGGUGAAGAAGUACUCCGGUAUGUAAAGCCCUGUCAGCAGGGAAGAAAAUGACGGUACCUGACCAAGAAGCCCCGGCUAACUACGUGCCAGCAGCCGCGGUAAUACGUAGGGGGCAAGCGUUAUCCGGAUUUACUGGGUGUAAAGGGAGCGUAGACGGCCAGACAAGUCAGAAGUGAAAGCCCAGGGCUCAACCCUGGGACUGCUUUUGAAACUGCCGGGCUGGAGUGCAGGAGAGGUAAGCGGAAUUCCUAGUGUAGCGGUGAAAUGCGUAGAUAUUAGGAGGAACACCAGUGGCGAAGGCGGCUUACUGGACUGUAACUGACGUUGAGGCUCGAAAGCGUGGGGAGCAAACAGGAUUAGAUACCCUCGUAAC
rnacentral:rRNA from 1 species